rnacentral:lncRNA from 1 species
ACCGGCCAGGCAGUAAGUCACUGUGAGUUACUGCUUAUUUUCUUUUUAAAAGAAAAAGUAAAAAUAACUCACAUCUUGAAGAAAAUACAACCUCUUGUCUGGCUCACCAUAUUGAAAGAAAGGAGAAAGUCCGAUUCUCCCACCAAGAGCUCUUCUUUCUGCUCAUAUCUCAUUUUAGAACCUACGAUGUCAGAAUUCUCCAAAACACUGGAAUAGCUUUCAGUGUCAGAAACUGAACUUCUGCACUUGGUUAUAUUGAAAACAUAAGAUUCUUAAGAUUAAAAAAGAGAAUAGGGUCACAUGAGAGAUGUAUCAUAGCAUGCAAAUGUUAAGUAUGCCAAAAAGUCAACUUAAUUGAAGGGCGUUGCUGGAUGGAAGCAAAUACCAUAGCGAAUCUUGCAAAAGAAGCAUUAUGUUUAUGGUAGAGCUAUGAUUUAUGUCCUAUGAAUAUCCUCAAAGCCCCAGAAUGAGACAAGAAUUCUUCAUUUGUUGCUUUAUAAUUUUCAAAGUUAUGCCAAUGAUCUGACAUUCACAAUCCUGAGAAGUAGGUAAGAACAGUUACUUAUUCCUUUAAUAAAUAUUUGCUGAACUCUUGUACAAUGUGCCAGGUAUAGUGCUAGUUAAAAAUUUCAUAUGUGCAUUUAGCACUUAGUAUAUUCUGGCUAUUAAACAUUUGUGAGUAUGAACUCACUCAGCACUCAUAAUUACCAAAUGCGGUGAAUUGUUCACAUUUUGCAGAAUGAGGGUCCAAACACACUAAAUCAGAUGUUGGAAGUCACACUACCAUCUACUAGUGCCAAGGGUUCUUAAUCAGGGGUCCAUAGAGCCCUAUCAUUGGGUUUCAAAUUUCCCAGGAGAAAAAGCCCAUAGUUUAUAUCAGUGUGUCAAAAGUAACAUAUAACUUUAAAAAGUUCCACUGUUGUGUUAGGAUUAGGGAUUCAUUGCUGAUCAGGAUCUGUAAGAGUAGUCCCAGCUCUCCUGACCCUCAGAGUUUAUCAGCCAGAAUAACUAGGCAGGCUCUUCUGUGCCUAAUGAAAGGCUUUUCUCAUCAUACCCUUUUAUCUGUUCAAUAAAUAUAGAUGUGCUGCAUGAUUUUUAAAAAAUGUUUACAUACCAUUUGAUUAUAUAUGUUAUUUAUAUCAUUAACUGAAAAUAUGAAACAUAUUGUUAGUCUCUAGUGUGGAUAUUUAGUUGUUUUCUUCCUAAUUUUUGCUACCUGCAUGAAAUAAUUUUUGAAUUUCUCAUAUAUGACUUUUGCUAAAAAUUUCCAUUUGUGUAUCAUUUUAUUGAUUAUAACAAUUUUAAAAAUAUUUCUCUAUAGUUUAUUUCUGUUUAUCUCUGAACUUUGCUUAUAAUACAUAUAUUUUAAUUUAUAAGGCAUUGUUUUCUGUCUCUAUUUUUAUAAUUAUAUUUAGUUUUAUUAUAAUGAAGUAAAUAUAUUUUGUACUAUAUGUCAUUUUUUGGAAUUAAUUUUUUUCUAUCUUUAUAGAAUGUGUGUAUGUAUGUGCCUGAAAUAUACAUAUAUGCCAUAGACAUUUAUAGAUAUUUAUAUGUAUAUACCAUACAUAUACAUACACUAACACACAUACGUAUUUCUUAUUUUAAAAUAUACAUUUUUUUCAACUUGCUUAGUUAGAAAUUUUAGUCUACAAAUUCUGCUCAUAUUCCUUAUAUUGCUAGGAUUUUUUCUCCAUACAUUUCAAUGCCAUGUUUAUUAGGAAAAGUUACAUAUUUGUUGUGCAUAGAAUCUUUUAUUACACUAAAGUCUUUUUCUUGGUUUGAGUUAUUGCAAAAUGCUUGGAUUUUAACUCCUUCAUAUAAAUAUUAUGACCCUUGUUUCUUUCGGUUUGUUUUUAUUUGGUAAAUUGUUGUGUAUCCUUUUACACUUAUUUUUCAGAGUCCGUUUCUUUCAGGCAAGAUUGUCUUGUAGAUGGCACAUUGUUGUUUUUUAUUUCUAGUUGUAUUAUCACAGUGUCUAAAAUUUUUCUUUCGGAGCUUAUCAAAUCUUCAUUUAUUAUUGUAAGAGAUAAACUUGGUCUUUUGUCUUCUUAUAUCAUGCUUAUUUUGCUAUUUCCUUUGCUUUUGUAUUUUUGUAAUAUGGUGUGUGGUUUUUUGCCUACCCUCCACCUGAGAAAACUCAUGUGUAUUGUGAUUUUUAGUGCCUUACCAAACCUAAAAACUGAAAAUUGCAUGUUUAAACCUGUGUUUAUUAGUUUAUCAAAUUUAGCAUUAUUGACUCUAGUCAUGAAAAAUGGGGAACAUAGCACACUUACACCUUACCAAUCAAAUGUUUUUGUUCUUGAGCUUCUUUAUGGCAUAUUUUUAGUGGCCAUUUUCUUAGUUUACCACCUUCUCAUUUGUAUAUAUUAUUUAAUGUCUUUUCAACUUUUGCUAAUUGUAAUACACUUUAUAUUAAAACAUUCUGCUGUGAAUUAAUUAGAUAUUAUUUCCAAUUAAUUUUGGAUUUAAAUGUAUUGAAACUUCACCCACAAGCCAUUUUAUGGCAUGAUUUUCCCAUUUGGGGAAUAUUUAUUCCUCAUUUCCUUGUCGUUAAUUGGAUAUAAUGUAUGCAUAUUUUAAAGAUAUAAACCAAACACUAUGAAUUUUUCCUUCUUGCAUACUUUAGGAUAUGAUUCUAUUUUCUUCAAAUUUAAAAGGCAAUCUGGUUACAUGUUUAUUUUCUAUCAGAACUCUAGAUGUGCGUCAUCACCUCAAGACUUACAAUACUGAUGUUAAAAAAGCCUACGAUCAUUCUAUGAGCAUGUGUGUGUAUUUUCUUUAAGUUAUUUGUUUCUUCUUCCUGAAUACACUUGUUAAAUUCUUUCUUUAUUGUUGAGUUUCAUUACAUUUAUUAUAAUAUUGUCCUAUGCUCAACAUUCACUAUUAGUUUUUUGUUUUUUGUUUUUUUUCUGAAGCAAGUUGAUUCCUUUUUUCUACAGACCUAGUUUUUCUUACAUUUCAGGGAAGUUUAUUUCUUUAGAAAUUUUAAUCUAAUUUCAGUCUUUUUUAACUUCUUAAAAAAAGUUAUUAUCCAGAUAUUGGAACUCACUUCUCUGUUAUGGUUUCAUGAUCCUAUCACCUCUCUUCUUAUCUAGUAGAGUGUAUAUGUAAGGAUCAUUAGCGUAAAAACCAAAAUACUGCUGCAUAAAUUUGGGAAACCACCCAUCAAAAUGCAAGAUUUCUGAUAAACAGUUGGUGGUGAAUACAGUAUUGAAGCUGGCCUAAGUCUUCCUAGCCCUCGUUCUUAAAUUGGAAAGAACAAGUUAACACAAAGAAGGUUUUACUGUAAAGAGAACAGCAGGUGUGCCUUGCAUGCACUUCCUACACACAGAAGGAAAACAGGGAGCAACAUGGAACAUGCUGAGGUUGUGUCCAGGAAGCAAAAGAAAAACUAGCAAGAUGGCUGUCUUUGGAAAAGGUACUCCAACUCAUUAAUAAAACAGAGAUUAUUGUGCAUAAUCUGUUCACUAACAAGAUCAGCCACACUUAACUUACGGUGGCACAAUUAAGGAGCUACAAACAGGUGCCAUAACAUCGCCUGUGACACUACAACUAGAAAGCAAGAAUGAAAUUUACUCUUUGUAAAUGUUGAAACAGAAAGAGGAGGGGAAGAGGAGCAAACACCAUCAUACUCACGUAAUAUUUAUAUGACAAAUAAAUUGAAAAAUAUUAAAAUGUAAUUUUCUAUGCCUUUACUUUGAAUUAUGUGUAAUUUUCUGAAAAUAUUGCCUAUGUCUUGUUCCAACUUUGUAUUAGGUAAUUGGUACUUCAUGCUGAUUUUAGAGAAGUUGAAAUUUGAUACUGCUUUUUCACCUAAAAUUAUUUUUAAAUUAACAUGGAUCAGAUUUUAUGUCAUUCUAUAUUUUUUAUUUUAUAUUAUUAAUUAAUAUUCAAAAUUUGAAAUUAUAAUAAAAUUUACUGUGUCAACUAUUAUAUA